rnacentral:lncRNA from 1 species
CGACACAACCAAUCCAUUUCAAUAUAUUUUCAAGAUAGAUUUAUAAUAUUCAUAAGAUAAUCUCAUCACAUACCAAAACCAAAGUUUGUUAUCCAUACCAAUGGCUAACCAUACAUUCAUUUCAUAUUAACAUCUACUUUACUAACUUAUACAUGCCAUUGAUUUCCAAAAUAAAGUUUCUUUAUAUACCGAGAUCUUGAGGUUGAUAGUGUGAUGCAUCUCCGACCAAAUCCGACCUCUGAGCUCUUAACACUACAAAAUAGGGAAAAAGGAAAUAGGGUAAGCACUUUGUGCUUAGUAAGCUCAUGUAACAAGAAUUUUACUUACCUAAUAUUUUCAAUACAAUGCAAUAAACAUUCAUACAUCCAUUCAAUACAUUAUUCCCCUAUCAUGCUCAAACUCAACAUUCAAAUUAGUUCAAUAAAUUCCAUGUAUCAAUAAUAUAUAUACCAUGAUUGAUGAGCUCAUCAAUACCAUGAUUUCCAUUCCCUUGUUAUUUUUCCAUAUUUAUCCCGUUGAACUACUUGGAAUUUCGAUGGAUUUUCAGAGGUACACUGUAGUGUACAAAUCCUGAUCCGUCAAUUCAUAUUCAUGUGCGCACAUUUCCAUUUCAGAUAGCACACUCCCGCGAACCUCAUCCUUACAGCGGGAUUACCAGUCCAAGCUAAAUCCCCUGUAAUAUAAACUCAUAGAGUAUUGUCGGGAUUACCAGUCCAGGCUAAAUCCCCUGCAACGACAAUUACUCUAAUGAGCUUGGAUCUGAAUUACCAGUCCAGGCUAAAUUCAGACCCUAAUUCGGAUUACCCGUCCGGGCUAAAUCCAUUUUCCACAUAUUCUUUGGGAGGGCUAUAUCAAGAUAGGAUCACCCGUCCGGGCUAGAUCCUUUUUACCGUCAAUUCCUUUUCAGAGAUCCAUCGAAUUUUCCUUUCAUUCAACCGGGAUUUAUUUCCUCUUUUCAUCAAGAAUAUCAAUACUUCAUCAAUUAUCAUACAAUAAACAUCCAACUCAUUUUCACAUCAAUAACAAACAUUUCAAGCAUUUAAGAAUAUAAUUCAAGUUACACGAACUUACCUCGACACUUGUUCGUAACCAAAAAUCUACUAAUCCCAAACUUUUUCUUUUCCUCGAUCUUGCUUCGUAUUUGAAUUUUCCGGAUCCAAAUAAAUAAAUUUAAUCAUUAAUAUAAUACAUUUCAUGUUCAUAUGUAACAUUCUCUAUAAUUCCAUUAUUAUAUGUAAUGCAUUCAAAGCUGUCUCACUGAGUCACAGUCACUAAAUUAUUUAUAUCUUGAGCUACGGAACUCCAAAUUAAGAUCCGUAAAUUUUUCCUGAAACUAGACUCACAUAUAUUUUUACCAUAAAAUUUCAGAAUUUUUGGUUUAGCCAAAAAGUACAGUUUAUUCUUUAAAAUUUCCCCUGUUUCAUUGUUUGACAGUUCCGACCCCUCUUCACUAAAAAUUAAUUAUCUCAUUGUACAGAAUUUGGAUGAUGUUUCCGUUUAUUUCUUAUGAAAAUAGACUCAUUAAGGAUUCUAACCAUAUAAAUUAAAACUCAUAAUCAUUUUUCUACAAUUUUUAAUGAUUUUCCAAAGUCAGAACAGGGGAACCCGAAUUCAUUCUGACCUUAUCUCACAAAAUCUAUUAUAUCUCAUGAUUUACAAUUCCAUUGAUUAAACCGUUUCUUCUAUAAGAAACUAGACUCAAUAAGAUUUAAUUCCAUAUUUUUUUCAUCUUCUAAUUCGAUUUCUACAAUUUUUAGUGAAUUUUCAAAGUUAACCUACUGCUGCUGUCCAAACUGUUUUAGUGCAGGGUGUUAAUUACGAUUUUUCCCCUAAGCUUUCAAUAAAUGCUAAUUUCAUCCCUGCUCAAUUAACCUAUCAAUUGAGCUGAAUUUUCUCAAUUAACACCGUAUCCCAUCACUUUAAACUACUUCAUAAGCUUUGGAAAUCAGAAUUUCAGUACUAGACUUUAAUUCUAAACUUUUUCACAAUUAGGUCCUACAAAUCAAUUUCUAUUGAAAUUACCUAAUAAAAUCAUCUCAUAAAUGGAUUAAAGCUUCAAUUUCAUCCUAUUUCAUCAUAAAAUUCCAGCACAUAUUCAUAUCAACUUUCAAAUUCAUUCAUAAAAUCAAAAACUAAUGAAUUUAGUAAUAGGACCUAGUUGUAAAAGUCUUAGAAACACAAAAAUUACAAGAAAAAGGCAAGGAUUAACUCACUUGGUGCAAAAAUUAUGAAAAACCAGCUUGGAGAAACCCUUAGGACCUUUUUGGCUGAUGGGAAUGCAGAAAACUAAAGAGAAUUCUAGAUAAUGCCAAUUUAGUCCUAACUUUUAAAACAAAUUUUGCAAUAUUCCAAUUUUACCCUUAAUUCUUCAAUUCUCCUGAUUUUUCUCAGCGUAUGCCGCCCAAAAUAUCUCCUUUUGGGGUUAUUUUCAAUUUAUGUCCCUCCUCAUUUAACAAUUGAGCUAUUUAAUCCUUUUAGUAACUUUUACACCUUUUUCAAUUUAGUCCUUUUUGCUUAAUUGACUACCCAAACAUUAAAAUUUUCUAACGAAAUUUUAAUACCAUAUUACUAACACUUCCUAAAUAUUUAUAAAAAUAUUUUUGACUCGGUUUUACGAGAUUGAGGUCUCGAUACCUUAUUUUUACCCAAUUUCUUCUCUAAUUUCUUUUUUUCUAACUAAUCACUAAAUCGGUAAAAUUUUUCUAUCGAUAUUUUCAUACUAUUUUCCUAUCAUACCAAUAUUCAUGCAAAAAUAUUAAAAUAAAUUUCUCUUUAGAUCGGAUUUGUGGUUACAAAACCACUAUUCCGAUAACCUUGAAUUUGGGCCAUUACAACAUGAAUAAAAUUAUUUUAUCCAUUAAAAAAUGGAUGAAUUUGGAUUUUGAUAAAACUGUAUUUGAAAAAGAAAAUACCGUGGAGGAACAGAUUCUCAUGUGGAGGACCCAUCAUACAUUUCAUUUUCAUAUCUCAAUUUAAUAUCUCAUUUCGAUGCAUAUUCAAGAUCAUUCAAUAAAAUUUAUAUUAUCAAAUUAUUCAUUUACCCGUAUUAACUUGAGUCGGACUUUGGCGGAUGCACGGAUCCAACCAAACAUACCAAAAUGGCACCCAGUGCCUCAUCGGAUAGUUCGACGCAAUAAAGUGACACCCAGUGUCUCAUCGGCCAAGCCGAAGUAAGUUGGUACCCAGUACCUCAUCGAAUCUAUCCGAAGUAACAGUAUGACACCCAGUGUCUCAUCAACUCAAGGUCGAAGUAUCCCUGAACUCUUCCAAUCCUAUGGCAUGCCAACUAUAUCCGACUCAGCCCGACUAAUUAAUAGGGUAUUCAAAUCAUUUUUCUAUUUCAAAUUCACUUUCGAUCAAUCACAAUUCAAUUAAGAUUCACUUCCCACUUUCUAAUCAAUAUACAAUUCAAUACCAAUAUAUAUAUAUCAGAUAUUCACAUAUAAUCAUACUUUGAUUCAAUUCAAACCACUUUUCAAUCAAUAUAUAGUUUACAUAUCCACACAUAAUCAUAAUUUAAUUCACUUUUAUUCAAUUCAUAUUUUUAAUUCAUUUAAUUCAAUAUCAACAUUCACCUUAUUUUUAUUUACUAAACAUAUUAUUCAAAAUUCAACAAUAACUAUCAAUAAAUUCAAUACCAAUACGUGUGUGUGUAUAUAUAUAUUUAUUCAAUUCAAUCAUGAUACUUACCUCAAUUUGCUUAUCAUGUAUAUUAAUUUACAUUUCAACAAUUAAUAAUUAAAUUCGAAUUAUGGCAAUACUAACCGAAAUUUCUCUCGAGUCACUCCUUAUUCACCUUCUCCUUUCCUUUCUCGGACAAUGACUUUUGCAUGACAUUAGCUACGUAAUUAAACAAUUAAAAAUCAUUAAUACACAAUUUCAUCAAAAUAUUUCCAUUUAUACCUAAACUUUACCUAGAUUCUAAUUUAAUCCCUUAUCAAUACUAAUUUUAUUUUCCCAAUCUAAAUCCAUAUUUUCUCUUAAUUCUUACUAUAAACUCACUUUAACUCUUCAUUUUCAUCAUAAAUCCCUAAUUUCAAAAUUCUCUCAACUUAGUCCCUAUUAAUUCAAAACCCAUAAUUUAUUUUACAAAUAAACAAUUUACCAACUUCUAACUUGAAAUUCAAUCAAUUUAACCCCUAAUUCAUCAAUUAAUUCAACAUAAUCAAUGUCUAGAAAUCUAAUAACUUUCAAAUUUUCAACAUAAACCAUGAAAUAUUUUGUUCUAGAACUCCAAAAACUCAAAAAUUAUAAGAAAAUGACUUAAUUUGACUUAUCAGUUGAGCUUGGAACCUCAAAACCUUAAUUUUUCCUUUUCUUUCUUUCCUUCUUUCCCUCUCUGUUUCGUUUUGCCUAUUCUGUUUCAAUUCUCUUUUUCUAUCUUUAAUUGCUUUUGUUUUAUAGAUAUAAUAAUAUAAUAAUAUAAUUAAUAUAAUACUUAUUUAUUAAGUAAAUAAAUAUAAUAUAUAUUAACUAAAAUAUCUCAGAUAUUUCUUUCAUUAUGUCGCCUCAAUUUAGUCUGAUGGCAUAAUUGCCCAUUUGGUCAUUUUAACUUUUCUUUAAUCUAUAAUUAAACUUUUAUCUUUAUUACAAUUUUAUCCUUUUUCAUAAUUAACCUCAAUUUAGGCAAAUUCACUUAAUCAAAACCUAAUUAACUACACAACUAACUUCGUAAAUAUUUAUAAUAAAUAUUUACAAAUCCAAUUUACCGGGACGAAGUCCCGGGAAUACUUUUUUCAAUUCGAUCCUUUUUAAUCAAUUAACCAUUGAAACGUUAAAAUUUCUUAACGAAACUUUACUACUACCCUAUUAACACUCCGUAAAUAUUUAUAAAAAAAUUUACGGCUCAGUUUAUAAUAUCGAGGUCUCUAUACCUCGUUUUUGACCCAAUUUACCUAAUAAUUUCUUUUAAAUCACAAAAUUCACAAAUUUUAGAAAUAUUUCUAAAAUCACGCUUAACUUAUAAUUAUUAAUUAAUAAAAUUUUCUAACUUUUUUUAUCGAAUUUAGUGAUUUCAAAUCACUAUUCUGACACUACUGAAAAUUGGACUGUUACAACUCUUCCCCCCCUUAAAAACAUUUCGUCCUCAAAAUUUCUCACCUGAUACAAACUAUUAAGUCAAAUCUUUCUUCCACCCUUUCAAUCGAAGUCCCUAAAAAUUAAUUAUAACUCAUAUCACUUUCGAAAUCAUAUCAGAACUCAUUUUAGAACUUGAUACUAUACCUGAACUUAAUUGAGUAGCUUUGAUGUUCUCCUGUCAUUACUUUAUCAUUAGUAGUAUAACUACUGAGAAAUUUUCAGUAAUCGUCUGUCGAAACAUAAUUGAGAAACCCGAAUUAUCAAACUCUGACUGAUAUUUUUGACGUGGUUGCAUCUGUAACUUUCAACUGAUAUCUAUUUCCAUUUUCUUGAAAUGUGUCCAACAAUAUCAUUUUAUACCAAUGUGAUAACUUCAAAAAUCGGAACGAUUUCAACCCAUAAUAAUAUUUCCCUGAUUAGAACUGACCUAAUAAAAUAUAUUUCUGUAUCAAAUCUUCUAGAAUCUGAAUUUUUCAUUCUGACAAUCCAUCCAUUUACUCAUGAACGCACAAAAUUUAUUCUUGGACCUGAGAAUAGACUCAAAUACAUAACAACCAGUUGCCUACGGAUUAUCCUUCAUCCUUUAUCGCAGCAGAACCGUCUCCUGCAAUCUAUGAACCUGAACCUGAACCUGAACCAUCUUAUCUAAUACCUUCGAACGAAGACCUUGGAAACCCAUCCAACCAGAAGAAAGCAGAUAAUUUAAAUCCAUUGUGGAGACCCAAAAUGUACUGAUUCCAUCACUGAUUAUAUCUCAAUUAACUUUUCAAUGAAUAACCCACUCUGAUUAGAACUGAGUCGAUUUUAUCUUUCAGAUAAUAACAUUUCAGAAUAAUCUAUUUUUCUUGUUGUCAAAACAAUCCAAAUAUACCAUAUAUCAUAAUCCUCUUAGAACACCAACAGAAAAUUACCACAACUUGAGAAAUAAAAACCAACGUACAAAUUUGAGCUCAAUCUUCCACCUUCUACUCUUUUUCCGAUGUUAACCCUUUCACGGAAACUGGAAAAGAAUUAUAUAUAAUAAAGCUAUUUUAAUUAUAAUCAUCGAAGCUUUGAACUAUACCGAAGCCACAACCAUCAGAUAGAUUAAAAAUGAUAGAGCUAUAAUAGGGCUGACGUUCCAACCGUAUAGAUAGAACAAUACCUCAACAUCAAUAGUGCACUCCAAAAUAGAUGAAGAAAACUGAAAGUAGUCCCAAUAAAAACCAGUGCAGUAAUACAACUUCUAUAAUCUGAGAUCCAUAUCACCGAGCUCCCAUGAUCAAACCAAGAUUUAUAACAGUAAUAAAUAUAAUUACCUCCGGCCAAUGAAUAUCUUUUACGGAUGAACCAUGGUUAAUAAAUAAGAUUAGACCAUAAGAAUGAUAAGAAAACCGAGAUAAUAAAAUCCAAGAUGUGAAACUAUACUGAAUUUUCGAGAAUAAAAACCACAUUGAAUGAUAAAGAGAUCGAUGAUAUCCCAGAGAAAAUCCAAAAGAAAAAUAUCGUUCGUACACACCAGAAAUAGUUGUGAUAAAGACAAUAUAAAUUCCAUAUAUGUAAUUCAGAGCUUCAGCCAGUAGAAAUAGAAAAUAGCUUCAUUUGAGUCUUAUCAUCAAGUCUUCUAUCGAACAUAAUGGAUUAGGAAAUUGAAGAAAGAUAGAGGCAUCCUGAUCAUGAAUCAACCAGACUAAUAAUAAUUCUGUCUAACAUUAUGAUUAGCCAACCUUGCUAUAUGAUAAAAAUCACAUCUAAAAAUAAACAGUUGCAUAUACCUCUGAGGAUAAAACAACAUAUAAAAUAUCUAGAAGAGAUCAUUGUAAGAUACCCGACUAUAGUAGCUACAUUCAGAUAUGUUUACAAUUUUCAACACUAUCCCACUGACUACUAAAGUCAUUAAUAAUCUUACAUUAUCCCAAUCACUAAAGAAAUCAAUUCAGAAGAAAUUCCUAUUAAUCCGCUCUUUAAAUUUUAUACCUGAAUAAGUCGAUUACUCUUGAAUAACUUCUUUCUAAAUAGCGAAAUUGCGUAUCUCGAAUAAUCUUUUUUUAAAAAUUUGAUAUCUUUUCUAGAACUCUCUCUUUACUUGCUAUCCCAUCCUCAGCUCUGACCGCAUUAUUACAAUUAUUGAACUCUUCAGUUUCACACUUGUAAACUUAAUAAAUAUAAAUCUUGUAAAUUCCAUUGUAUAGGUGAGGGGGUGAAGGUCGUAAAGCCUAAAAAUUUAACUCUCAUAUAUAUACAAGUAUAACAUACCAUUUAUCAUUAACAUAAUCAUUAUAAUCAUUCGACAGUUUUAACUAUAAAACAUAAAUAAAUAUAUCAGCAUCCAAAUCCCGACUCAAUUUGACUCAAUUAUGGCAUGUACCUCUAGACUCAAUUUUCAAGCUCGAUUUAGUCUGAGAAUCAGCUAAACCUGCAAAGCCCUGACACCACUAAAUGUAACACCCCUUAACCCUAAACCGUUGUCGGAACAGAGUUACGGAGCAUUGCCGGAUAUAUUGGAUAACUUAUAACUAGUUCACAAAUAAAUAACAGAUAUAGCAUACUUGUAUCAAAUAUGUCAUAUUAGUUCCAUUUCAUACUUAUAACCAAUUUAAACAUCAUUCUACAACCACAAUCACAAAACUCUUAUACUUAACCUAUACAUCACUUAGGUACAUGUCACGUUAUCCAAAGAAAAGUACAUCACUAAAAUUUGUCUGAGAUCGGGAUUGUUCUGGAAGCUGGACCGGACACUGGCUUUCUACUAACCUGCGCACGGAAACAACCGUACGCUGAGUAUAGGUAUACUCAGUGGUAUUACCAUAAUUCAAAUUAAUAACAUUAAUCAAUAAAUUAUAUACAUUUAAUUUAUGUCUACAAUUAUUCAUUAAUUGUCUCAUACUUUAAAUCAACUUGAUCAUUAAUAACAAUAAGCAAUAUUUCAAUCUUAUAUUUAAUUGUAUCCAUACCUUAUUUCACUAUCUAAAUUUUAUUGGAUUUUUCAACAUCUCAUUCUAAAAACUCAUUCCAAUUCAUACAAAUUCAAUCAAUUUAUCAACUGAUUCAUUAUCAUUUCUAUUUAUAUUCAAUUUAUACUUUAAAUCUUUUAAUAAUCAAAUUAAACAUUUAAACCAACAUGUUUCAAUAAUAAUAAUAAUAAUAAUAAUAAUAACUAAUUUUAUGAAAUUGUAUUCAAAUUAACUCAUACACUAUUUCUUAAUUCAAUUUAUACCAUUACUCUUUCAAUAAACAUUUAAUACAUUAAAUCAACUUGUUUCAACAACAACAAUAACAAUAACUAUCUUUCAAUUCGAUUCGUUCAUUUAUAAUCAAUUUACACUUAUAAUCUUUUAACACUCAAUUUAUACAUUAAAUCCAUAAUUAAAUUUCAAUAACUUGUAUUCAAUUAAAUUCUCAUAUUAUUUCACUAUUUCAAAUCAUUUUGUUUUCACUUCUCAUUUUUCAACAAUAGCUAUUUCAGUUUGCUUUUCUCUACUUAUAUUUUUACAUCAUCUCAUACUACCAAAGCCAUUUCAUGAACUAUAUCAUUAUCUAGUUCUUGAACCCAUGGUUCAUACAUUUCAUUUCCAUAUCUCAAUUUAAUAUCUCAUUUCGAUUCAUAUUCAAGAUCAUUCAAUAAAAUUUAUAUUAUCAAAUUAUUCAUUUACCCCUAUUAACUUGACUCGGACUUUGGCGGAUACACGGAUCCAACCAAGCACACCAGAAUGAAACCCAGUGCCUCAUCGGAUAGUUCGAAGCAAUAAAAUGACACCCAGUGUCUCAUCGGCCAAGCCGAAGUAAGUUGGUACCCAAUACCUCAUCGAAUCUAUCCGAAGUAACAGUAUGACACCCAGUGUCUCACCGACUCAAGGUCGAAAUAUCCCUGAACUCUUUCCAAUCCUAUGGCAUGCCAACUAUAUCUGACUCAGCCCGACUAGUUAAUAGGGUAUUCAAAUCAUUUUUCUAUUUCAAAUUCACUUUCGAUCAGUCACAAUUCAAUUAAGAUUCACUUCUCACUUUCUAAUCAAUAUACAAUUCAAUACCAAUAUAUAUAUCAGAUAUUCACAUAUAAUCAUACUUCGAUUCAAUUCAAAUCAUUUUCAAUCAAUACACAGUUUAUAUAUCCACAAAUAAUCAUAAUUUAAUUCACUUUUAUUCAAUUCAUAUUUUUAAUUCAUUUAAUUCAAUAUCGACAUUCACCUUAUUUUUAUUUACUAAACAUAUUAUUCAAAAUUCAACAAUAACUAUCAAUAAAUUCAAUACCAAUACUGUAUAUAUAUAUUUAUUCAAUUCAAUCAUGAUACUUACCUCAAUUUGCUUAUCAUGCAUAUUAAUUUAAAUUUCAACAAUUAAUAAUUAAAUUCAAAUGAUGGUAAUACUAACCGAAAUUUCUGUCGAGUCACUCCUUGUUCACCUUCUCCUUUCCUUUCUCGGAUAACGACUCUUGCACGACAUUAGCUACGUAAUUAAACAAUAAAAAAUCAUUAAUACACAAUUUCAUCAAAAUAUUUCCAUUUAUACCUAAAAUUUACCUAGAUUCUAAUUUAAUCCCUUAUCAAUACUAAUUUUAUUUUCCCAAUCUAAAUCCAUAUUUUCUCUUAAUUCUUACUAUAAACUCACUUUAACUCUUCAUUUUCACCAUAAAUCCCUAAUUUCAAAAUUCUCUCAACUUAGUCCCUAUUAAUUCAAAACCCAUAAUUUAUUUUACAAAUCAACCUUUUACCAACUUCUAACUUGAAAUUCAAUCAAUGUAACCUCUAAUUCAUCAAUUAAUUCCACAUAAUCAAUGUCUAGAAAUCUAAUAACUUUCAAAUUUUCAACAUAAACCAUGAAAUAUUUUGUUCUAAAACUCCAAAAACUCAAAAAUUAUAAGAAAAGGACUUAAUUUGACUUACCAAUUGAGCUUGGAACCUCAAAACCUUAAUUUUUCCUUUUCUAUCUUUCUUUUCUUUCUUUCCUUCUUUCCCUCUCUGUUUCGUUUUCCCUAUUCU